UACGUAGGGAGCAAGCGUUGUUCGGAUUUACUGGGCGUAAAGGGCGCGUAGGCGGCGUGUCAAGUUGAUUGUGAAAUCUCCGGGCUUAACUCGGAACGGCCAAUCGAUACUGACGUGCUAGAGUGCAGAAAGGGCAAUCGGAAUUCUUGGUGUAGCGGUGAAAUGCGUAGAUAUCAAGAGGAACACCUGAGGCGAAGGCGGGUUGCUAGGCUGACACUGACGCUGAGUGCGCGAAAGCCAGGGGAGCAAACGGG
rnacentral:rRNA from 1 species